CAAAUAAUAGCUUAUAAUAAAGCUUAUUAUUUACAUUAAUAAGAAAACUUUUGUUUUGUUUGA
rnacentral:tRNA from 1 species